GACGAACGCUGGCGGCGUGCCUAAUACAUGCAAGUAGAACGCACAGUUUAUACCGUAGCUUGCUACACCAUAAACUGUGAGUUGCGAACGGGUGAGUAACGCGUAGGUAACCUGCCUGGUAGCGGGGGAUAACUAUUGGAAACGAUAGCUAAUACCGCAUAAUAUUGAUUAUUGCAUGAUAAUUGAUUGAAAGAUGCUAUUGCAUCACUACCAGAUGGACCUGCGUUGUAUUAGCUAGUAGGUGAGGUAACGGCUCACCUAGGCGACGAUACAUAGCCGACCUGAGAGGGUGAUCGGCCACACUGGGACUGAGACACGGCCCAGACUCCUACGGGAGGCAGCAGUAGGGAAUCUUCGGCAAUGGACGAAAGUCUGACCGAGAAACGCCGCGGGAGUGAAGAAGGUUUUCGGAUCGUAAAGCUCUGUUGUAAGAGAAGAACGGGUGUGAGAGUGGAAAGUUCACACUGUGACGGUAUCUUACCAGAAAGGGACGGCUAACUACGUG
rnacentral:rRNA from 1 species